ensembl:lncRNA
AUAAAAUAAAACAUGAUUUAAGAUACUUGUUUGCUUGUGACAUUUGUUUUAAUAUGCACCACACAAGGGUGCUAUUUUCACAAAUGAUACAUUUCAGAGUUGGUAUAGCUGUUGUUUGGCAGUCAUGAUGCAAUCAUGGCACAGAUGAUGUAAUAAUGGGGCUUCUGAGUUGGUCUGAGGCUGCACUGGCUCAGGCCCUCAUUCGUUACUCAGUUACGAUUGGAUACACAUCUCUGGCCGCCAAAGAGAAGGACCCAGAGCUGUUUCUCAUAGGAACUUCAUUAUCUGAAAAUGGUCUGCGUUGAUAUUGGUGUGGAGCACUGCAAACACCCAACCUGGUCAAGGAUUGGGAUGGAAAUCACACCCGAUGAACUGAGAAAGGUGGUUGAGAGCAAGGAGUUUGACACCUCCUUCUUGGACAUGUCCCUGCCCAAUGUCAUCUGCAUGAUCAUGGCCCUCAGCGUGGCCUUUCUAGUCAUCUCCAUGAUUUGCCUGUGGAUCAGCAGGAAGAAGAGCCCUGGUCAGGGCAAAGAAGGAUUUCUGCAGUGCAAAGACAUGCAGAAGCUGUGCCACGGAUUUGAGCUGCAGGAGCAGGUCCUACUCAAGAUGGAUAGCAUGGAACAGCGCAUUGCUGCCCUAGAAGGUUUCCUCAGGUCCAUGUGGAGGAGGAGUUCCAGAGGCAACGGCACGCAGGAGGCUGCUGACAAGAACACAGAUGCCCUGGGCUUCUCCAAUGGCUCCGACUAAUAUCCGAUUGACCUCAACACCUAAAGACCUGGUUUAUGGACACUUUAAUGGUUACUGAUUUUUUAUUUCUGUUCUAUGGACACUAUUUUAUGGACACGUUAGUGCAUUUGGUAAAAGAAAAGGCAUUUUAAAAGCGUUUCAAAAGAAAAUGUGUGAAAUUGCAUCAAUUGUUGAACUUUUAUUUGAGGUCAUAGACUAUGCUUCUAAACCAAGGAGAAACGCUUGAUAUAAAACCUUAGAAAAUAGGAAAUAAGGUAAAUAAAGAUUUAUAACUCACAUCAAAUAGGCCUAAUGAUAUUGAGGUUUACAGGAAAUGUUUGAGUUUGGCUGUGUUUCCCAAAGAUGUGAGAGAGUAUGAUUUCCAAAUUAAGUGACAUACACUCAGUGUACUAAACAUUAGGAACACCUGCUCUUUCCAUAACAUAGACUGACCAGGUGAAUCCAGGUGAAAACUAUGAUGCCUUAUUGACGUCACCAGUUAAAUGUUUUUAUUUAAUUUUAAUUUAACCUUAAUUUAACUAGGCAAGUCAGUUAAGAAAAAUUCUUAUUUACAUUGAAAGCCUACACCGGCCAAACCCAGACAAUGCUGGGCCAAUUGUGCACUGUCCUAUGGGACUCCCAAUCACGGCCGGUUGUGAUACAGCCUGGAUUCGAACCAGGGUAACUGUAGUGACACUUCAAUCACUGAGACUGCUGUGCCACUCGGGAGCCCCAAAUCCACUUCAAUCGGUGUAAAUGAAGGGGAGGAGACAGUUGCUUGACAGCCUUGAGUCAUUAUCGAGACAUGGAUUGUGCAUGUGUGCCAUGCAGAGGGUGAAUGGGCAAGACAAAAUAUUUAAUGGUAGAAUCUGCAAAGGGCAGCAGCAGCUGGAUGAGGAGGGUUGGGAACAGGUUUUUUUUCUAUCUUGAUCUGUGGCUCCCUCAAGUCAUUUGUGUGUCUUAAUUGUUUCAUCACAGUGUGCUUAAAGCAUCAAACAGGCUCAGUAGCCUACAUAUAGAUGAUUUUAUUAAAACAUGGGGUGAGCCUAUAUAGGAAAAAAUACACUUUUUAAGAUUUCAACCAAUCUAUUGGUCAGAAGACUACUUUUGGUCGUCCAAUAUGUUUUUUUUUGUCAGAGACAGCCCUAGUCAGUACAUAGAAUACCAAGAAGACAACAAUCUUCAUCAAGUCAUGCCGAUGAGUUGUCCGCAGUAGCACAUAGUGAAAAAUGUGCUGGUGACAUGGAAAAAUACUGCUGAAAUGUUUAAUAUAAUUUAAAUGCAUUUCUAAUAUAUCAUCUUGUGACUUACCCCAUGGAGAGAGUCCCCAGCUGACAGCCCAACCUAACAAGGAGACCCUGGUUCCUAUCAUCAAGAAGCAUGUGGAGUGUCAGAGUAUGGUAGUCAGUGAUGAGUGGAGACAUGUGAAGGUCAAUGAAAGUCAGAAUUAUGUAGACCCGAGUACAGGUUUUGCAUAUCGAGAGGGCGUGGCAGACUUGCAAGAAGGAAGUUUGGAGUCUGCGUGGAAAACGAUCAGAUAAGUCCCUAAAGAGGCAACUCUGUUUCAUCGAGUGCACAUACUGUUUGGACCGGAAACACAAACAUGGAGUCCUUGUUAGAAGUCCUUGGAAGUCCUUGGUUUUUGACAGCACAAAGAAUGUGAAAAACUGAGGCUGUGAUCAAUAUGGUUGCGACCAUUUGAAACGCAAAAUGCACAAACCAUACACACACAAUCGCUCUCUUAGUCACCAUGAUCACACCGGUCCAGUCUUCAACUGGUCAUUCAGUACAAUAGGCGUACUGUUUCCUUUGAAUUCAACGUUGCACACCAUUCUGUCAAACUGAGUUCACCCCUGGCAACAUUAUGCACAGAAAAUAUGGUGGGUGAUAGGCAGGUAAAGGUCACAGAAAUGAAGAGAAAGGGGGAGUUACUUCCCUUCCAUCUAAGAUAAGCAGUCUAGGGCACUGCAAGAGGCGUGACUACAAUCCCUGGUUCAAAUCCAGGCUGUAUCACAUCUGGCCGUGAUUGGGAGUUCCAUAGGGCGGCGCACAAUUGGCCCAGCGUCGUCCAGUGUUUGGCCGGGAUAGGCCGUCAUUGUAAAUAAUAAUUUGUUCUUAACUGACUUGCCUAGUUAAAUAAAGAUUAAAUAAAUAAUUAAAAAAGCAGACAAAUAUGUUUUCCUUGUUGCAGGACAACAGUACUUAAUUAUAAAAACAGGUAAACUAUACCUGUGUAAACUUGAUGAUGUUUUACACUCCGUUAUGGACGGUCCCCAUUGAGAAACGGAUGCCACAUCAUUUUAAAAAAUUCAAACUUUGUGUCGUCUUUAGUGCAACCAGAAUCCGUCAAUAGAACUGAAAGUUACCAAAUCGAAGAACAAGAUGAAAAUAUGUGGUUUUAUGCAAUGGCUUUAUGGGAUAGCUAGCGACUUUGUUUCUGAUUAUAAUUAUGAGGUGGAGUUCGCUAGCAAGAGCAUCUUCAGCCUAGCUUUUAACUUGCAAAAAAGCUGGAGAAACAAAUGAAGGAAAAAGUAACUAAACGCAACAUGUUUUAUUAUCACGUGAAACAAUAUGUUUCUCCUGUCUUGAAUGAAAAGGUCGCUUUUGCAUUCUCCCAAAAUAAAUGCGAUCUCUGACGAAAUGCUUGUCU